CAAAAACCUCUGUUUCUAAUGUCUUGUGGAGAAUUAUGGCUUUUAUUAAUUAUUUUUAAACUUGAAAACCAUCGUGAUCUAAUGCAUGAUGCUGCAACCACAUACAGCUUUAUUUAACUAGCAUCUUUGUCCAACUAAAUUCUCUUUCCCUAUAGCACUCUCUCAAUGAAUAUAACAAACUUCAAGAGAAACCAAACAAAACUCAAUUUGGGUUAAUGCUCUUUCAGAUUAGAUAAAGCUCUCCUCUCUCUCUCUCAACCCUCAUCUAUGGGACAGUACUGAAACAGGCAACCAAUACAUAAGAAACAAUAAACCUAAAUGUACAGAAUAUAUCAAACAAAUGGAGAAACAUAAUUUCCAUCUUCCAAAAGAAAAUAAGCCAUAUGAGGGUGGGGGGGGAUAAUAUUACAAAUUUACAACCACAAUUAUGAUAUGCCACACUACAACAUCCAAUCCUAGAAGCAGUCAAAACAAUACUCACUAAACACAUACAAAACCACAGUAAUUCACAUAGAUGUGCUCGCACAUGUACAUUAAUUGUAAACCAUGUAAGCAACCAACAAAUCAAUCAGUUACCUUACCAGUUUUUUCAGAUACUUGCUUCACUGCUCGCAGGUCUUCGCCAUCAACCAAUUUAUCACUCUUCCCU
rnacentral:misc_RNA from 1 species